GCACAUGAUGACUCUAAACAUUCUUCACUUUGACCUGAUUAAUUGGUGAUGAUGAUCUUCAGUCUGAGC
ensembl:snoRNA SNORD37 small nucleolar RNA, C/D box 37